rnacentral:rRNA from 1 species
UACGGGGGGGGCAAGCGUUGUUCGGAAUUACUGGGCGUAAAGGGCUUGUAGGUGGCCAACUAAGUCAGACGUGAAAUCCCUCGGCUUAACCGGGGAACUGCGUCUGAUACUGGAUGGCUGGAGUGUGGGAGAGGGAUGCGGAAUUCCAGGUGUAGCGGUGAAAUGCGUAGAUAUCUGGAGGAACACCGGUGGCGAAGGCGACAUCCUGGACCGGUAUUGACGCUGAGGCGCGAAAGCCAGGGGAGCAAACGGG